AUUAAGGUGUCUGAUUUAAGUAAUAAACUGUAAAUUUAUUUAAGAAAAAUUUUCCCUUAGUA
rnacentral:tRNA from 1 species